ACCUCCUACGGUGGUUGCCAAAGCUCCGAGUCAACCCGAAAUAGGCCAUGGACUUUGAUCUACCAAAUGAUAAGAAUGCCUCUAAGAUUCAAUCAUAAACCACUUUGCCUCGGUUGUAUGUAAACCCCCCUUCACCCCCAUCCCCUAAAGUGGUAAAGAAGGGUUAGGGUCUAAUUUUCUUUCUAUCUGACAGGACAAAGAAAUAGGGAAGGGAUGGUUCUUUCUUUUAAACUAUUUAUGGGUCUACCUAGGAUACGAUACUGGUUGUCGGGUAAGGCUUUCGAACAGGCAACAGGCUUACAGCAGGAAUGAAUAAGUGAGACCAUACGCGAACGGCUGAGCUCAGUCUUCCCUGUAAGAAAAGUAGCGGUCGUGCUAGAGACGGUCUAUUGUGUUUUUCUUGACUCAUCAUUGAUAUUUUGGAAAAGCAAGAAAGAAGAAAGGGGAGCUUAAAGC
rnacentral:lncRNA from 1 species